rnacentral:lncRNA from 1 species
GGCGACGGGCCACGGCUUGCCCCGGGGAAUGGGUUCCCUCCCCUUGCCCUGCUUCCUUCCUGCUUUGUGGAAUGGGAUUGUCACAGCACCGCCCUCGGGACGACGCUGGAAGGAUUGAAUGAGACAAAGCACAUCCAGGGAUGAACAUCAUAGGAGCCCAAGACAUGUCAGCACUUGUUAGGGUCAUUAUAACUAGAGGUGCCCAGUGCCAAAGCCAGAAGGUUCUCACCAAAGAGGCAGAGACUUGGUGAGAGGAAUGUUUGCUUCCGAAAUGAAAAAAACCAGGGGGACAUAUCUUAUGGUACAAUUUUAGACACUGUUGUCUUCAACAUCUCCCAUGGACUUGCC